rnacentral:lncRNA from 1 species
UUGGUUUUAGAAAAUCUUAGGUUGAUCAAAACAUGGUGUCUUUUUUAUAUGAUGUUAAAGAUUAUGGUGUCAAUUAGACUUUUUUAGUAUAGAAAUUGUUUAAAUGAGAAUAUUAGUGUUUUAUUACUUUAUAUUUUACUUAUAGUUCUCGAGUAGGAAAAACUGAACAGCUCCCAGAAAUCCAUGUGGAUGCAGCAUCUCCUGGACCCAGAGUAACUUUUAACAUCCAGGACACAUUGAAAAAUAUAGUAUGGGGAAGUACACCACAAUCCAGCUGGCCUGGAGAAGGGUAUUUUCAGUUUCCAGAGGAGACAGAACUGGACCUUUUGUCAGUAACUAUUGAAGGUCCAUCUCAUUACUCAUCAAAUAGCGAAGGAUUGUGUUCUGUGUUCACUUCUCCUAAAACUCCUGGAAGCUUUUCAUCAAACAUUCCUUUCCAACCUGAAGAAGCCAGGCGAGAUGACAGAUUGUCUUCUACCAGUGAAGACUCUGAGAAGGAUGAAAAGGAUGAAGACCGUGAGAGGGAAAGGUUUUAUAUUUACAGGAACCCUCAUGAGUAACCUUUUUAUUUUAAGAUUCGUAGAUACUAUUUCAGAAGCUAGAACUGAGCCUAAACCUCUAUCUGAUUUAUUAUGUACAAAAAUUUCUCUAAGUAUGCCUAUUUGAGUGAAAGAAACUAGAGACAUCUU